rnacentral:lncRNA from 1 species
CCCUGUCCUAAUCUAGUUGGGUUUUUAACCCAUUUUCACCUGUCCUAUUUCUAUGUUUUUGGGCCCUUUGGCUCGAGUUUUCACUUCACCUGUAUUAAAUACAGCUUUGGCUUCUUGGCCCGAAUUAAUGAAUAAAAAUAAAUAACUAAAUAAAAUAGAUACAGACAACAAAUAAAAUAAAAACAAAUAAAUAAAAAGAGACUUUUUAGUCCCUUUGUCGCUUCAAAAAUGGGAUUUUAACCCAUUUUUCUCUUCAAUUCUUUGUAUCUGCGUACUAUGAGAUUGUUUCCUUAAGGCCUUCAAAGUCGACUUAUGGAGGAUUGGCCUCGAUGGCCCAUAAUGCAUAUGCAAAGAUAAAAGGGCCCACGCAGGACGCGAGUGUAUCCACAUGCAAAAAGAGAAUUCGAGCCAUCAAUAUAUAUCCUCAAGUCAAUAUUUAAACAACUACUGAGUCAUCAUGUGUGACAAAGACAUACAGAAUUGACAAGGCCACUUCCAAUUAUGUAACAUACAGGAAACUUAAUAACAGUACCAACAAAAAUUGAAAAUAUACAUGAUUCACAUCCCAAAAUAUAAUCCCAAAUUAUGCCCUGCGUUCACUUGCCCAAAUUAUACCCUUAACAUGCAGGUAAAAGUAGAUACGUUCCAUGCUUAGAAUUGGCGACUUGUCCUCUAAAUCAUUCUUUUUUGAUAUCACACAACAGAAAUAGGAAAAGAAAAAGAAAAGAUUCCAUAACAACUAGCAAAAACAUCAAAAGAGCGAGAUACAAUAGGGAUAAACAAUACUUAAACUCAAUAGAGUUAACGUCAUAAAAAUAUAAGUCUAGCCUGACUUACUAUAAAUGUUCCCCUGAACUAACUACUAAUAGCAAAGCAGGUGAACCACACGAGUCCAAGCAAACAUAAAAAUACUCUUGGCAGUUUUACAGUGACUCUAAUCCAUUGUGUUCUGUCUAUAAGCUAAGCCCUCUAUCGCCGAGUAAAUAAACUUUAAACGAGUGAGAGUUAGCAUCACAGAACACAAUCGUAGCAACUUCUGAGCAUAUAAAUUUAAUAUUUUCUUUUUAUAUUAAAUCUCUAAGUGAAACAAACUAGAACAAAUACUACAGCGCAUAUGAGAACAUGAAUUCAAUUUUUCCUCACCAAAUUUUAUUUCAACACAACUAUCCUAUUCUUGACUCAGAAAUGACAUAAUGGUUCCUCAUGAGAGCAUUUAAAGAGACUGUAGUAUGGUUUCCAUCUCUCUUUGAUUGGUGGUUCGAAACCACGAAUUAGAGGUCCUUGAGAUGUCAUCAACCUCACAAUUUUCCUCCGUGAAUCCAAUGGAUAUUAAGUUAAGAGCCCUACUAAACCCUCAUCUUAACACAUCAUUAUAAAGAUAGCAACAUGAGAGGAACGCCCCAAAAAGACAAAAGUUCAAAGUGUGAGCUAUUAGGACCUCAAUUUGUCGAAUAAGCGAAAGGAAGAUGACAGAGAUAAGCAUAAACAUGAGUAAAUUUAAGCAAGAGCUUUUAAUGCUAAAAAAAUGGUAAUAAGUAGUUACACGGUUGACACGAGUACGAACAGUGAUCACCUUUAGAGGUAGAUCCUAGACAUAACCUCAUAAAAAUAUUAAACAAAUUUAAACUAUUUCGAAAGUGGGAGACUUUAACUGAUCUCUCCAUCUUUUUAGCAAGCACCCGAAUCAAUCAACUUAAAUUGAAAGCUAAAUUUAAAGCAAAAACAACAUCAUCAUAUUAAAGUUGAUUUGAACACGUGAACGAAAAGAGUAGCAAUUCUCUUAUAACUAAGACCAUAGAGACUUAUGAGUGAUAGUGUAUGAGGAUAGAUACAAAAAUCCCCCUGGUAAAUAAAUCACAGACCCUUGAGUAUUUGAACGAAACAGGAAAAAACCCAAACAAAACUGUGACAAUUAUCGUAAGCCAGACUCUUCACACAACAGUCAAACAAUCAAGAAAAAUCCUAAGGUUUUCACUGGAUUUUACAGUGACAAAUCCCACCCCAUUUAUGCUUACGACUAAACUACUAGGGCCAUGGAGGAGAGAGACGAAGAAGGAAACAAUAGAUUAAAGUUGAAAGGGAGGAUUUACGUCUUUGAAAGCAGCAAACGGGACUCGAGCUAUUAGCAAAAUUGUUACCACUGGGAGUUGAUGUUAUCAAUGCGAGAACUUUCGAUUGAUCGACCAAACUUCCAAAAGGAAACCGAAGAGGGAAUAUAUUCUACAGUUAAAGGGAGCUUUUAUCUUCUGAAAAUCUUGAAACAAAUCGAUAUCCUUGUCUCUCGCUCAAAACUUUGAAUAUCAGAUAUGAUUCCCCAGAAACAGAAAAAGAAAUCCUAAAAAAAAAACUACUAUAUGUUGUAUUUCAAAACCUCAUCUCCGACCUAAACUUCGAACUAAGAUCCUCAGAACUUUUCCUCGUUUUUUCCCCAAAAAAGAAAACAAAAUCCACCCCCCCGCCCCCCAAAAAUAAAAAAUAAAAAAAUAAAAGCCCCCCCAAAAAAGAAAAGAAAAGCCCCCCUGAUUUUUAUGAAAGAACCCUAAACCCCCAAAAUCUCGCCCCAAACAGUGACCCAAUCGUCUCUUAUAUAGAAGACGAAUUGGGGGUAUUUUUGGGAUUUUUGGAAAUAGGAGAAUUCAAAAUUUGAUUUUCAAAAAUCCCCUCACAAUUUCGGUUUCAUCAACAACUUGUACCUCUUUUGGAUUCUUCCCCCCAAAUUCGGAAUAAGCAGCCUAUAGGAAUGAGGAGGCGAGGAUUCUUUUCACGAACCAAUCAAAUUUCGGUAAACAUGUACGAAAAUCAUACUACUAUCCCGAGAUUCGCAAAUUUGAACCAUUGGAGGAGACAACUAAGCUCAUUCUAGAAGGUUUCUCGACAUCUUUUCGUACGAAAUCGCGUGGUACACGUGGAGAAAUUGAAAAUGGGUUGAUUUGGAAUUAGGUCACUGAUUCGGGUUUCACCGUUGUCGGAGCUGGUUUGGGUCGAUUUGGUUGGGGGUUUUCGCUGGUGUUGAUUCCUGAUCGAUCGGGUAUUUGGAGUUGGUCAGGUUGUUAAUGGCGUAGUUAUUUUAUUGUUGGAUGAGAUCAGGUAAGGUUGAAAGAGGAGAUAAGGGUUGAUUGGAGGUUGGGCUGGGUUGCUGGUUAUUGUGUUGGGCCUGGUGGUUUAUUAAUUGAGUUGGGUCAAUGUUGGGGGUCUGGUCGAUUGGGCCUAUUAAUUUGAAGAGUAGGCUUGUAAUUCAAAAUAAGAAUGCAAAUUUGAAUUUAAAUCUGAAUUUAAAUCUGGUAAUUCCCUUUGGGUAGGGUGAAUGCAAGAAACCCUGGGCAAAGGGAGGUUGACAUUCCUAAUUUUUGUCUGACCACAAAUUCAAAUCUGAAAGACGUUGAUUUUUUCCACGAUUUUCAUGGAGUUAUGGUCAAACCUCGGUAUCAGGUUUCCUACAUAUCUCAGGUUACAUGAGAAUUCAGGCCACUUGUAGUUCAUAAAGCUUGAUUUUAAGCACGAUUUUCAAGAAAAAAUUCACCGCCCAUCUCGGUUUUGGAGUUUUUGAUAAAAUCAAAAAGCUGUGGAAUGAAGGGAUUUGGGGGGGGGGGGAGGUUGGAAUGCAGUCGAGUUUUCUACAUAGAUCCCAACCUAUAUAUCCCUAAGAUUUUAGGAAGUCAGACUGCUUGUAGUUCGACUCAAUCGGUAGAAAAGAUAGUCUUUUAUUUUAGACCAUCUUUAGCUCGGGAUGAGUGACAAGUUAAUCAAGUUGCAGAAAAGAGGCUUGUAACCUCUUAACCAUGAACAUGGGGCUCAUCACAUCCAUAGGUAAGAACUUACCCAGACAUAAUUUCCAAAACUCUAAGUGUAUUGUCACCCGAAUUUGAAAGAAAAAAGGAAGUUCCCUUCAGUAUGAGUUAAUCAAACAUCCCAGAGGUAAAGGUGAAACCAGAAUAUCCAAAAAUACCCACAUGCCUUCUAAUAGAGGCGUGGUUAGAUGGUGGUGGUGAUCAUCAUUUAGCUCGCGUCUAGAGAGGUUGACAUCCCUCUCCAGACUAUGUCCCAUUUUGCUGCUGAGAAAGAGUUCCACGUUGUGCUGCGUCCUUUUUGGAGUCGUCCGCACCUGUGGUUUUGAUUUGAGAUUUUAAUCCUUUUGGAUGCUCUCGACAAUAUCUCAAACAAAAUUGUUAGUGCUAACAUAAUUCACGAAAGAAGUAUAUAGUGUUUUACCACAUCUCCGCGUGAGCUGUUGUCUAAAAAAAAUGAAGUCAUCCUUUCUUAUACCUGUUUGAUAGGAAAUAAAUCACAAUAACAAACACAACAACCUCCUUUGUUGUUGUAUAAUUAUGACAUUCGUCGGUUGAAUAUGUCUUCAAAGUGGGGUGGCCCUUUUGGACACCAGUGAUACUUUUUGCAGAACAGUCCCUACAACCGUGUAAUCUUAUGCUGGUGUGGAAACCUUUUUGGUUACCUGUAUUACUUGUCGUAUGUGGAGUGAUAACCUCUCCGGUUACAACCGAUGAUCGAUUUGUAAAUUUUUCUUAAAUUAUCAAUCUUUGGAUAAUCUUGCGUAUUAUUUGAUAUUGGAUACGAGGCGACUUACAGAUAUUCUUUGAAUUUCUAGCUUUUAGGUAAUCCUUCACAUUAUCCGACUUUGUAUAAGAGAUGGCUUACAGAUAUCCCUCCAAUCACUAGCUUUCAGGUGUUCCUGCACAUCAUCCGACCUUGGAUACAAUAUGGCUUAUAGAUAAUCUCUUAAAUUGUUAGUCUUUGGGUAAUCCUGCACAUAAUCGAUCUUAAAUAUGAAGAGGCUUAAAGAGAACCCUUGGAUGUAUCAAUUUGAUAAUCUUGCAUAUUCUCCGAUAAGGAUUUAGUUGCGACUUAUGGAUAACCUUUGAACUAUCAAUUUUUGGGCGAUCUUGCACACUAUCCGAUUAAGAUGUUGUUGUGGAUUACGGAUGACCUACAGGAUAUCAACUCAUAGGUGAUCUUGCACACUAUCCUAUUUCAAAUAAUAUGACUUAUAGAUAAUCCCUUAAAUUGUCAAUUUCCAGGAAACCUUAUAUAUCAUUCAUCCUUGGAUAGCGACUUAAAGGCAUCCCUUCAAAUCGUGUACCCUCGAUGCAUUCAUAUGCUGAUUCAUGAAACGAUGAGAUAUCCUCAACGCCAAUAUUUCUGUCUAGCUUAUCAGUAAAUAUUGAAUGCCUUUGCGGCAAUGAUAUGUAAUGGCCCUUGGGGUAAUGAUAUGCAAUAAUCCUUGUGAGGAUGAUAUGCAAUAACCCUUGUGGCGAUGAUAAUAGCCCUUGUGACGAUGAUAUGCAAUAGCCCUUGUGGCGAUGAUAUGCAAUAGACCUUGUGGCAAUGAUAUGCAAUAGCCUUUGUGGCGAUAACAUGCAAUAGCCCUGACUUCAUUUGUCAGCGUCCUGCUUUCUACAUGUACCUGUACUCAAGGUAGACGAUUAGUAGACACAAAGUCACUUUCACUAGCGACUGUUUUUAGGAAACUUCUAAAUACGAUAUGUGUAAAGAAGACAAAGAGUUUUUGUUUGUCGCCUACGAUCUCGAGAAAUGAGAUGGGCAAAUCAAAAGGUCCUCAAUAAAUGGGCGUUAAACCUAUUUUUAGGGCUACCCUAAAAUACCGUUCUUGGGUAUUAAUGCUUUGUUGUGACUCCCAUUUUGCUUGGGGAUUUUAGAAAGAGACCCUCAUUUUGCAUAUUGAACCCUGCAUCCAUAGAAAAAUUAUUAGUUUGAAUGAAAUUACUCCGUGUUGACCUCCUCCGAUCCUUGAUUUGCUCCUUGCCAUCUCUUGGGUAUUCCACCAUAUCGGGACUUCCACCCUGACACUCCAUCCCAAAUGAUGUCUAGGCAAAUACUAAAUAAGUGAGUUGUAAGAUUUUUGAAAAAUAGUCUUAAAUUUUUGAAAAUAAUUUUGAAAACUUUUAGAAAAUCUCUGCCAGUCAUGUCAUGUACUAGCUCAACGAAUGUCUUCCUUGUGGUUUUGACUAUAUUCGACGGAUGGUUUCCAAAACUCAUGAUCAUUGUUGGAGGGUUUCUUCAAGUAGUUCUAUCAUAGCCAAAAAUUGAGUCUACCCAUACUUUGUUACAGUUGGUGGAUUCCAAAGCUUGACUUUAUCCUCUGGUGCUGGGGAAUUUGGAAUACGUUCCGACAUUUGGUGAAAAUUUUGAGGUCCUCCUCAAGAUUUCUACCCCAGUUUAAAGUUGUUUGAGAUGAUACUAAUCCGAGUGGAUCUGAAGUCUUUGCUGAUCUUCAUUCUCUUUGUUAGAGUCGAUCUUCUAUUGUGAAUUUUUGAGAUUCCUUCUCGAAAAUUCUGCCCCAGUUUUUAUUUCCCGGGGUUAUAUGACCGAGCUAUUGGGGCGCCUACGUAUCCCAUUGAAGCAGGAAUCAGGUUAAACGUAGUUCAGGACUAUGCUAGGGAUAUACAAAAGAGAUUAAUGGGUUGACCGAAGCCGACAUAGGCCGCCUACGUAUCCCUUUUAUUGGGAAUUCAGGUCGUCACGUAGUUCAUACAUAGAAAGAAAGGAUAAAUUUUCCUAAGGGGUUGACCGAAGCCGACAUAGGCCGCCUAUGUAUCCCUUUCUUGGGAAUUCAGGUCAAACGUAGUUCAUACAUAAAGGAAAGGGGUUCUAGGCGAUUAUACAUCAUAAAAUUGAUACUAUUAUAAAGGCGAUUACAAAUAAGCCAAGAAACAAAACUAUAACAUCUUUCAAGCAUGAUAUCUUUUUACCGCAUCAGAAUUGAUUGGUUUGGUCCACUCUUGACCAUCUAUCUCAGGUAGGAUUAGGGCUCCUCCAGGUUGGUCUUCUUUUGAUUUUUACAUUCCUCUAUAUCUACUACUAACCGCUCCUCAUCACCUUUUCUGUUCAUCAUUAUUUUCUUUGCCUUGUUCGUCUAACCCUUAACAUGACAUGACAUUGGCAGAUUUUUAAAUUAUUGCUACCAAAAUAAACCAUGCUAGAUAAUCAUAUUUAAAAAAUAACUUCUUAAAUAAAAGGGGGCCUUUUGAAAAAAUAAAUAAAAACUAUGGCUUAUGACCCACACAAAUGUGUGCCCAUGCCUUUUUGAAAGUUGUAAAGCACAAAACAAAAAUAUCAGACAUAAAAGGACGGAUCACGGGGCCUCCGAAUCAGCACCGAUUUUAAAAACUAUUAGUAAUUUCCCUUUCAUCUACCGCGAUGGGCGACGAAUUAGGAGCGGAGUGGAAGUCCAAUUUUGUAAAGCCUCUCCAUGUGCAACCUUAUUCAUCCCACCAGACUUUGGGAAAUCAUCUGGUAGAGCAUUGCAUCCUUCGAACAGAUCUCCCAUCCCAUCCCCAAGACCAUCAUCAUUUGACAUACUGGUACAAGAGCGGCAAGGGACUAAACAGACUCUCCUUUGAAUUAUCUUUGAUCUCAUCUUCCUUUCUUGGUUGGUACUCUAUUUUAUGCUUGAAAGAUUUUUCUGGGACCAUAACAGGCUUGAUAAUUCCUUCUAAAUUCUUACUUAAGGCGGCCGCAACUUUCUCUUUCUUUUCCACCUCCUCCGUUCUUCUGAGUCCUUCUGAAUUUACCUUAGCGAUAGCCUUGCUAGACUCCCAUUCACCCUCUAUUUCAACCAUGUUAACUGUAGGCCCCCAUGGUUAGGCAACAGAUUACUGUUAACAUUUGGUGUCGGCGACUAAAGUGUGAUGACCUUCUGAUCGAUCAAAUCCUGGAUCUUAUGUUUCAAGUUAAUACAAUCCUCGGUACUGUGACCCGUUGCUCUUGAAUGAUAGGCACAAUUUUGAUCGGGAUAAUAAAACUGGGAGUUGGGAUCGAUAGGCUUUGCAUGUAUCGGUUACAAAUAACCAGCUUUUAUCAAUCUUCCGAAGAGCUGGGUACGACUUUCAGCUAGCGGCGUGAAGUUUCGGGGAGGUUUCUUUUCGAAUUUUGGACGUGGAGGGUUAUAAUGCUUCUAAUUUAUGGGAGGAGGUUCUUGAUGAUAAUUUGGAGACGUUUGGACGUUUAUUUAGUUAUUUGGAAAAGUAGCUUGAGUAUGAGGCUGAUAAUUUGGCUGUGGAACUUGGCACUGGGGUUGAGCGUAGAAUACAGGCUGAAAACUUGAUGAUGAUGAGGAAAGAAUAUUCCUAGGCUUGAAUUUCCUCCUUAACUUAUCAACUGAAUUAGUAGAGACUACAGUCACAUCCUCUCUUUUCUUCUUUGAAAAUGCAGAAGAUUCAAAUGAUGUUGGGGUUUUGGCAAUUUUUCCUGUUCGGAUGCCUUCCUCUAAUGAUUCCCCAAUCUUUACUAAAUCUGCGAAAGUUUCUCAAACCGCGGAUACCAUCCUGGUAUAAAAUUCUCCUUCCUGUGUGCGAGAGAAAAUAGAUACCAUUUCUUCCUCGGACAUGGGGGGUCGCACUUUGGCAGCUUUCUUCCUUUAACGAAAGACAUAGUCUCAAAAACUCUCGUCACUCUUAUGUUUUAUUCGAUCUAGUGAAUACCGAUCUGGGACUAAUUCAAUGUUGAAUGUGAACCUAUCAAGGAAACCCUUGGCCGAUGCUUUCCAACCAGUCCAUCUUUUUGGCUCCUGAGACAUGAACCACUCUAAGGCUUCACCUCUUAAACCUCGGCUGAAUAGGCGCAUCAAUAAUGCCUCGUUCUUCCCUAUCCCUACCAAUUACUCACAGUACCUUCUCAGACGGGCCAUUGGGUUUCCGGUACCAUCAAAUAUUUCAAACUUAGGGACUUUGUACCCAUCUGGUAGGUCUACUCCCGGGUGAACACAUAAGUCAUCAUACCCUAAACCGUCGUGGUCCCUGUCUCUAUGAGACUCUUUGAUACUCAUGAUCUCUUCCUUCAUAGCUAGCAAGUUACUUUCAUGCUCAGUCCUCUACUCUUUCUCCUUCUCCUCGUAAUGGUCCAUCUCGGGAUUAGGAAGGGGUUCAUAGGUGUCAGGGGAUACAAUGGCCUGAAGGGGAUUUGAAAGGGAGGCUUGAUUUUGUAGAUGAAAGGAAUUUGGUUGGUAAGUGGGAAGGAGGUUUUGGAAAUUGGGAAGGCUCUGCAGACUUUGCGAGUAGUUUGGCGGAAUUUGAGAAAGAUUUUGUGGAUUUUGAAAUGAAUUUGGUGGAUUCAAAGGUAGGUUUGACGUAUUUUGUGGAUUUGGGAGUGAAUCUUAUAGAUUUGGAAAUGUGUUUUGAGGAUUUGGAGAUGGAUUCGAAGACGGGUUCUGUGGGGUUACAGAUGGAUUUUGUGGAUGAUAGGCAUCUGGGUUAUUUUCACGAUUAGUAUUUUGGACAAAUGGAGGAGUGGAGAUGGAUUAUACGUUAUUCGGCUGAUCCUCGAGAAUAAGUGUGCUGAGGGGAGGGAUUUGGAGUGGAGUCUCGUGUCCCUCUGAAGCGGGGGCAUUGACGGUGAUGGCCAAGUUAGCCAAAUCCCGAGUGCGAUUUACUUCUUCCUGAAGCAUUUCUAACUUUCUUGCAAGUUCCGCAAUCAUCUCAUUCUGUUCCGCUAUCACUUUGUCCCGAAUAGUCAGGGUGCUUUCCUCGUUAUUUCCUGUCAUUUUUGAAUGAUGGUCAGGGGAUGAGAUUUUGUGCGAUUUCGAUCGGGUGAAGUGGGGAUGUUCUGCCAGCUUAUAUCAACAUGGAGUAAUUUCUAUUAUCUGUAAAGUAAAACAACUCAAAGGCAGAUUUGUUAGUUUUCGUAUGUGAUAAGUAAUGCAAAAUAUUUGACAGAAAAUAACCAUAUAGAAUUGUUUGAGUCCUAGACAAAUUCAUCCAUAGGAGCAUAGCGGAUAAACUUGCCUUUGAUCCAAAAAAACACCACAAGCACACAAAACAUUAUAAUAAUGCAUAUCCUAACUGGGGUGACCUUUUUUGAGCCAAGGGUUUAGGCCUAACGAUUUUUGAAGAAAGUAUAUGCUUCCCUAAAGUCAAUCCAUUAUCCCCCACCUUAUAUAGACACGAAACGGUCAUAAAUGCGUACAAACGAUAACAAAAGAGAGAUACAAUCUUUGGGGAAAAAGGGAAAUAACAUGAAAAAGAAUAAGUUCCUACGCAGGGGAAAUAGAAAAAUUAGCUACUAGAGGAUCCUUCGUCUGCCUUUGCCUUCUUAGCUUUGUCCACUUCUCAUAUUGGUGACAUCUAUCGACGCUCAAAUUGUGCCUUAGAUGCAACCUCCCAAAUCGAUCAAUUUCUUGCUUAACUUGCUUCAAUUCUUCUUACGAAAGUAAGCGAAUCAGAAUUAGACAGGCAUACAUUUUCAUCAACACAUAAAUAUGGUUCGUCUAUAAUUGACUCGGGGUCAAUAGACGUAGGGAAGGUAUUCUAAUGGGCCCAAUACACCACUCGAGUAUUUGGUUGUCCUAGGCUCAUGCCUAAAAUAGGGUUUUGGUUUCGUUCUAUCCUAGUUGUCUUGAGUGGGUUUGAACAUUGGUUCUUAAGCGGACAACUUGAGUUUGAAAAUAUGAACAGCGUCAGACAACUCACGUGCUGAUAAUCUAUUCGUAUUUCCAAUAUAUUUUGGGAUCGAACAACAGGGGCCGGGACAUUCACGAAACCCCAAAACAAUUUAUAAGAUGCAAAAAUAUGCCAUGAGAUGCGAUAAUUAAACUUUACAUAAUCGAAACACAUAAACAGUUAAUCAAAAGACGAAAUUAAUCAUUUGGUUAGAACCUAGUUAAAGAUCCCCAACAGAGUAGCCAUUUCUGUUUUGUGGAAAAAUUUUGACUUUUGAAAGAGAGUCGCCACUUAAUUUUGAAAAGAAAUUAAGAAACCUUUAUAAAGUUACUUCAAACAAUUCAAAGCAGAAAAAUCAUUUGAUUUAAGAGAUUCUGAGUAAGCGGCACCUAAAACGUCCGCUAACUUGCGGUUAUCCUGACUGUUUGAAAACGUCUUUUGACUAACUUUGGGAAAAUCAGUUUGUUGGAAAAAUAGUCGAUUAAGGAAAAAGUUUUUUGCAAAAUCAAUUUUUUAGCGACUUAGUUAGGGAUUUAACUAGGUUCUCAAUAGGCACGUAAACAAGUAAGCGAAAGGAAAAAAGGGAAAGGGGAGAAAUAGUGAUUUGGGCUUUUAGGUCCGUUGUCCCUGUCCUAAUCUAGUUGGGUUUUUAACCCAUUUUCACCUGUCCUAUUUCUAUGUUUUUGGGCCCUUUGUCUCGAGUUUUCACUUCACCUAUAUUAAAUAUAGCUUUGGCUUCUUGGCCCGAAUGAAUGAAUAAAAAUAAAUAACUAAAUAAAAUAGAUACAGACAACAAAUAAAAUAAAAAUAAAAUAUAAACAAAUAAAUAAAAAGAGACUUUCUAGUCUCUUUGUCGCUUCAAAAAUGGGAUUUUAACCCAUUUUUCUCUUCGAUUCUUCAUAUCUGCGUACUAUGAGAUUGUUUCCUUAAGGCCUUCGAAGUCGACUUAUGGAGGAUUGGCCUCGAUGGCCCAAAAUGCAUAUGCAAAGAUAAAAGGGCCCACGCAGGACGCGAGUGUAUCCACAUGCAAAAAGAGAAGUCGAGUCAUCAAUAUAUAUCCUCAAGUCAAUAUUUAAACAACUACUGAGUCAUCAUGUGUGACAAAGACAUACAGAAUUGACAAGGCCACUUCCAAUUAUGUAACAUACAGGAAACUUAAUAACAGUACCAACAAAAAUUGAAAAUAUACAUGAUUCACAUCCCAAAAUAUAAUCCCAAGUUAUGCCCUGCGUUCACUUGCCCAAAUUAUACCCUUAACAUGCAGGUAAAAGUAGAUACGUUCCAUGCUUAGAAUUGGCGAAUUGUCCUCUAAAUCAUUCCUUUUUGAUAUCACACAACAGAAAUACGGAAAGAAAAAAAAAAGAUUCCAUAACUAGCAAGAACAUCAAAAGAGCGAGAUAUGAUAGGGAUAAACAAUACUUAAACUCAAUAGAGUUAACGUCAUAAAAAUAUAAGUCUAGCCUGACUUACUAUAAAUGUUCCCCUGAACUAACUACUAAUAGCAAAGCAGGUGAACCACACGAGUCCAAGUAAACAUAAAAAUACUCUUGGCAAUUUUACGGUGACUCUAAUCCAUUGUGUUCUGUCUACAAGCUAAACCCUCUAUCGCCGAGUAAAUAAACUUUAAACGAGUUAGAGUUAGCAUCACAGGACACAAUCGUAGCAAUCUCUGAGCAUAUACAUUUAAUAUUUUCUUUUUAUAUUAAAUCUCCAAGUGAAACAAACUAGAACAAAUACUACAACGCAUAUGAGAACAUGAAUUCAAUUUUUCCUCACCAAAUUUUAUUUCAACACAACUAUCCUAUUCUUGACUCAGAAAUGACAUAAUGGUUCCUCAUGAGAGCAUUUAAAGAGACUGUAGUAUGGUUUCCAUCUCUCUUUGAUUGGUGGUUCGAAACCACGAAUUAGAGGUCCUUGAGAUGUCAUCAACCUCACAAUUUUCCUCUGUGAAUCCAAUGGAUAUUAAGUUAAGAGCGCUACUAAACCCUCGUCUUAGCACAUCAUUAUAAAGACAGCAACAUGAGAGGAACGCCCCAAAACGACAAAAGUUCAAAGUGUGAGCUAUUAGGACCUCAAUUUGUCGAAUAAGCGAAAGGAAGAUGACAGAGAUAAGCAUAAACAUGAAUAAAUUUAAGCAGGAGCUUUUAAUGCUAAAGAAAAUGGUAAUCAAUAGUUACGGGGUUGACACGAGUACGAACAGUAAUCACCUUUAGAGGUAGAUCCUAGACAUAACCUCAUAACAAUAUUAAACAAAUUUAAACUAUUUCGAAAGUGGGAGACUUUGACUGAUCUCUCCAUCUUUUUAGCAAGCACCCGAAUCAAUCAACUUAAACUGAAAGCGAAAUUUAAAGCAAAAACAACAUCAUCAUAUUAAAGUUGAUUCGAACAUGUGAAUGAAAAGAGUAGCAAUUCUCUUAUAACUUAGACCAUAGAGACUUAUGAGUGAUAGUGUAUGAGGAUAGGUACAACAAUCCCCCUUGUAAAUAAAUCACAGACCCUUGAGUAUUUGAACGAAAUAGGAAAAAACCCAACAAAACUGUGACAAUUAUCGUAAACUAGGCUCUUCACACAACAUUCAAACAAUUAAGAAAAAUCCUAAGGUCUCCACUGGCUUUACAGUGACAAAUCCCACCUCAUUCAUGCUUACGACUAAACUACUAGUGCCAUGGAGGAGAGAGACGAAGAAGGAAACAAUAGAUUAAAAUCAAAAGGGAAGAUUUACCUCUUUGAAAGCAGCAAAUGGGACUCGAGCUAUCAGCAAAAUUGUUACCACCGGGAGUUGAUGUUAUCAAUGCGAGAACUUUCAAUUGAUCGACCAAACUUCCAAAAGGAAAUCGAAGAGGGAAUAUAUUCUACAGUUAAAGGGAGCUUUUAUCUUCUGAAAAUCCUGAAAGAAAUCUAUAUCCUCGUCUCUCGCUCAAAACUUUGAAUAUCGGCUAGGAUUCCCCAGAAAUAGAAAAAGAAAUCCUAAAAAAAAAUACUAUAUGUUUUCUUUCAAAACCUCAUCUCCGACCUAAACUUUGAACUAAGAUCCUCAGAACUUUUCCUCGUCUUUUUCCCAAAAAAAAGAAAGAAAAUACCCCCCAAAAAAGAAAAGGAAAGCCCCCCCAAAAAAGAAAAGAAAAGCCCCCCUAAUUUCUACGAAAGAACCCUAACCCCCCAGAAUCUCCCCCCAAACAGUGACCCAAUCGUCUCUUAUAUAGAAGACGAAUUGGGGGUAUUUUCGGGAUUUUUGGAAAUCGGAGAAUUCAAAAUUCGAAUUUCAAAAAUCCCCACACAAUUUCGGUUUCAUCAACAACUCGUACCUCUUUUGAAUUCUUCCCUCCAAAUUUGGAAUAAGCGGCCAAUAGGAAUGAGGAGGCGAGGAUUCUUUUCACUAACCAAUCAAAUUUUGCCAAGCAUGUACAAAAAUCAUACCACUAUCCCGAGAUUCACGGAUUUGAACCGUUGGGGGAGACAAGUAAGCUCAUUCUAGAAGGUUUCUCGGCAUCUUUUCAUACGGAAUCGCGUGGUACACGUGGAGAAAUUGAGAAUGGAUUGAUUUGGAAUUAGGUCACUGAUUCGGGUUUCGCCGUUGUCGGAGCUGGUUUGGGUCGAUUUGGUUGGGGGUUUUCGCUGGUGUUGAUUGCUGAUCGAUCGGGUAUUUGGAGUUGGUCAGGUUGUUAAUGGCGUAGUUGUUUUGUUGUUGGAUGAGAUCGGGUAAGGUUGAAAGAGGAGAUAAGGGCAGAUUGGAGGUUGGGCCGGGUUGCUGGUUAUUGUGUUGGGCCUGGUGGUUUAUUAAUUGAGUUGGGUCAAUGUUGGGGGUCUGGUCGAUUGGGCCUGUUAAUUUGAAGAGUGGGCUGGUAAUUCAAAAUAAAAAUAAAUUGAAAUUGGGGUUAUUUAAUUGAUAACCCCAGUCAAAUUAAGAAUUAGUCAAAUCCAUUUAAAUUUCAACCAAAUUGAAGUCAAUUGGCCAAUUACAUUGCAAUUGAAGCUAAUUUUAUUUCAAUUAUAGUCAAUUUAAUAGAUUGACUAAAUUAAACCGAAACUCAAUACAAAUUAAUACCUCACUUAAUCCCAAAGUUCUUGAUUUGAUAAAAUCAAACACAUAUUUUCCAAAUAAAUUAAUUU